rnacentral:lncRNA from 1 species
CUGUCUUUCUGCAGCUUCUGCCUUUUUUUCCCCUUAGGCUUUGCUUUCCCUCUAUAUCUACUCCAAUGUAGCAUCUAGUGCGAGGAAUCAGGCAUUACAGUGUUAAAAUGCCUGUCUUGUUGUUUAAGUUAGUGGGCAGGUAUAAAAAUUCACUGGAGCUGUAAUACAGGGUAAUGUCACUUUAAGACAUGUGAUACUUUACAGAGCAGGGAUGUAUCGAAACAGACUACUGAUACUUCAGGGCACCGUGUAGCAGCAGCCCAGCUCCCUCCGAACACAGAGCGAGUUGCUUAACUGCACUGAAAGCAGGGGAACACGGAUGGUCCCUCAUUAUAACAGAAACUGAUUUUCAUCGGCAAGUACCCCAGGAACUGCACAUUACCUCAAGAUCACUACAAAGGGCUCAUCAGGCAGAGGGAACGCUAGAUGAUUUAAAGGUGAAGAUGACAAGGUUUCCACCCCUCAAACCUUGGCUACUUUUCUGACAACACGGUCUGAGCUCUGAUGUCUUCUUUAUUCUGGAAAUAGGAUUGGUAACAAGAAAAAGAAAGAAAGAAAGCAAAAGAUCUUUUUUUUUUAUCCUGAUAAAGAAGAUUAUUUAAAACCUCUUAUUGUGGUACACAUGGAUUUUAAAAAGUGUUAGAUCUUUCCAAUGAACACUAAUAGAGCAUUCUGCUCCUGGUUGGAUUACUCAGAGUAUGGCUAUGGUCUCUGCAAUGUCCUGGGUCCUGUAUUUGUGGAUAAGUGCUUGUGCAAUGCUCCUCUGUCAGGGAUCUCUUCAUCACACUUUCCAACAACAUCACCUGCACAGACCAGGGUCAACAACAUUUUUUGGUUGCUUGACAAAGGACCCUCAUUCUCAGAAACCCUAGGAGCCAAUGACCUACAGGAUUCCCUGUUUCAGAAACUGAAAAGGCCAAGCCGAAUCAGUCCCCUAAUACAAUCAGUAUUAUCCAGCAGACCAGGCUAUGGUCAAAUGUCAGAAGCCAUUGCGG